rnacentral:tRNA from 1 species
GACUACAUGAUCUAAUGGUUAUGAUAUUACUUCUUCAUAGUAAUUAUAUGGGUUCAAAUCCCAUUGUGGUUA